AGUAACACGUGAGUGACCUGCCUUUUAGACUGGAACAGCUUACCGAAAGGUGAGCUAAUGCCGGAUGAGUUAUAUAAGUGCAUGUUUAUAUAGGAAAAGUUGGGGAGACCUGACGCUGAAAGAUGGACUCGCGUCCCAUUAGCUAGUUGGUAGGGUAAUGGCCUACCAAGGCGACGAUGGGUAGCCGGCCUGAGAGGGUGGCCGGCCACACUGGGACUGAGACACGGCCCAGACUCCUACGGAAGGCAGCAG
rnacentral:rRNA from 1 species